AAUAACUCAAUAAGAGGAAGAGUAUCCUUUUUGACUGAUUAAAGAGAGCUUCGUUUGGUGAGAGAAGUAGAAGAAGAUUAGGAGAACAUGGUCCUUCUUGAGGGUCUAUCGAUAUUUAGAUAGGCACGGGCGCGCCCGUUAUAGCGAUAGAGUAUGAUAGUACUUGAAGAGUCUUUCAACGCGAGUUGUAAGAGAAUUAAGGUGGUAACACGAAAUAGCUUUCGUCCUUUAU
rnacentral:ncRNA from 1 species